rnacentral:rRNA from 1 species
GAAUCCCACAGGCCGUAAACCCAAGGUUUCCAGGGGAAGGUUCGUCCGCCCUGGGUUAGUCGGGACCUAAGCUGAGGCAGAAAGGCGUAGGUGAUGGACAACAGGUUGAUAUUCCUGUACUACCGAUAACCGUUUGAGAGAAGGGAUGACACAGUAGGAUAAGCUAAGCACACUGUUGGUUAUGUGUGCCCAAGCAUUGAGGCAGU